CCUACGGGGGGCAGCAGUGAGGAAUAUUGGUCAAUGGGCGCGAGCCUGAACCAGCCAAGUCGCGUGAAGGAUGACUGCCCUACGGGUUGUAAACUUCUUUUAUAAGGGGAUAAAGUCAGGCACGCGUGCCUGUUUGUAUGUACUUUAUGAAUAAGGAUCGGCUAACUCCGUGCCAGCAGCCGCGGUAAUACGGAGGAUCCGAGCGUUAUCCGGAUUUAUUGGGUUUAAAGGGAGCGUAGGUGGGUUGUUAAGUCAGUUGUGAAAGUUUGAGGCUCAACCGUAAAAGUGCAAUUGAUACUGGCAGUCUUGAGUACAGUUGAGGUAUGCGGAAUGCGUGGUGUAGCGGUGAAAUGCUUAGAUAUCACGAAGAACUCCGAUUGCGAAGGCAGCUUACUAACCUGCCACUGACAUUGAGGCUCGAAAGUGUGGGUAUCAAACAGGAUUAGAUACCCCAGUAGUC
rnacentral:rRNA from 1 species